CCUCCAGACUCCUACGGGAGGCAGCAGUGGGGAAUAUUGCACAAUGGGGGAAACCCUGAUGCAGCGACGCCGCGUGAGUGAAGAAGUAAUUCGUUAUGUAAAGCUCUAUCAGCAGGGAAGAAAAUGACGGUACCUGAGUAAGAAGCCCCGGCUAACUACGUGCCAGCAGCCGCGGUAAUACGUAGGGGGCAAGCGUUAUCCGGAUUCACUGGGUGUAAAGGGAGCGUAGACGGCGACGCAAGUCUGGAGUGAAAGGCCGGGGCCCAGCCCCGGGACUACUCUGGAAACUGCGGCGCUGGAGUACGGGAGGGGCAGGCGGAAUUCCUGGUGUAGCGGUGAAAUGCGUAGAUAUUAGGAGGAACACCAGUGGCGAAGGCGGCUUACUGGACUGUAACUGACGUUGAGGCUCGAAAGCGUGGGGAGCAAACAGGAUUAGAUACCCCAGUAAAA
rnacentral:rRNA from 1 species